rnacentral:rRNA from 1 species
GUGGGGAAUAUUGGACAAUGGGCGCAAGCCUGAUCCAGCCAUGCCGCGUGAGUGAUGAAGGCCUUAGGGUUGUAAAGCUCUUUCAGUGGGGACGAUAAUGACGGUACCCACAGAAGAAGCCCCGGCUAACUUCGUGCCAGCAGCCGCGGUAAUACGAAGGGGGCUAGCGUUGUUCGGAUUUACUGGGCGUAAAGCGCACGUAGGCGGAUCGUUAAGUCGGGGGUGAAAUCCUGGAGCUCAACUCCAGAACUGCCUUCGAUACUGGCGAUCUUGAGUCCGGAAGAGGUGAGUGGAACUCCUAGUGUAGAGGUGGAAUUCGUAGAUAUUAGGAAGAACACCAGUGGCGAAGGCGGCUCACUGGUCCGGUACUGACGCUGAGGUGCGAAAGCGUGGGGAGCAAACAGGAUUAGAUACCCGGGUAGUCC